AAAAUGUUUAUUUUUCCAGUGCUGGCUGUAACAGAGCAGGAUCCAUCCAAAGAGUAACCAAAUGCUUGCUGUGGAAGCAGCUGUGUCCCAUCCCUGGAAGUUACCCAUUAAUUAUUCUCCUACAUCCGUGAAAACAUUUUGGAGCCUUUUGGUACACAAAAAAACCCAGAAACUUCAAGGAAUGAGGAUGUAGUCCAGGAAUGCAGAGAAGAUUUUUAUUCAAAUUCUCCUUCACAAAGUCUGUCACCAGGUUACAGUAGCUCAGUUCUAGACCAUGCAGAACAGAAAUUAGCACCAGUGCCUAGGACUUCAUAGUAGCAGCAAUGCAGAACAGAGAGGCAAAGCAGUUUCCAUGACAACAGAAGUACAACUUGAUGCAUGAGAUAUAAUUAAAAGGUCCAGAACCUCUGCCUUGCAACCCAGCUCUCCUCUCAUCAGAAUGCCUCACG